CGGCACUCCAGAUGUUUUGGACUACACCUCCCAUGAUGCUUUACCAGUACUAUGGGCGUAAGAGCAUUAGGGGGGGUGUAGUCCACAACAUCUGGAGUGCUG
rnacentral:miRNA from 1 species